rnacentral:rRNA from 1 species
GACGAACGCUGGCGGCGUGCUUAACACAUGCAAGUCGAGCGGAGCGGCGAACGGGUGAGUAACGCGUGAGUAACUGCCCCCCUCUCUGGGAUAACAGUUGGAAACGGCUGCUAAUACCGGAUAGUGGGGGAUGACUCGCGUCCUAUUAGCUUGUGGGUGGGGUAGUGGCCUCCCAAGGCGGCGACGGGUAGCCGGCCUGGGAGGGCGACCGGCCACAAUGGGCUGAGAUACGGACCAAACGCCUACGGGGGGCAGCAGUGGGAAAUAUUGCACAAUGGGGGAAAGCCUGAUGCAGCAACGCGCGUGCGGGAUGACGGCCUUCGGGUUGUAAACCGCGUUCAGCCAUGACGCGGUAGUGGCAGAAGAAGCACCGGCUAACUACGUGCCAGCAGCCGCGGUAAUAC